CACGUAGGAGGCGAGCGUUAUCCGGAUUUACUGGGUGUAAAGCGCGUGUAGGCGGUUUGGAUAGUUGGAUGUGAAAGCUCCUGGCUUAACUGGGAGAGGUCGUUCAAUACUUCCAGACUAGAGUGUGAGAGAGGGAGGUGGAAUUCCGGGUGUAGUGGUGAAAUGCGUAGAUAUCCGGAGGAACACCAGUGGCGAAAGCGGCCUCCUGGCUCACUACUGACGCUCAGACGCGAAAGCUAGGGUAGCAAACGGG
rnacentral:rRNA from 1 species